GGCCUCGUAACUCAGUUGGUUAGAGCGUUUGCUGAACUAAAGCUUUCCCCAUGCUGGCGUGGGUUUGAAUCCCACCAAGGCCG
rnacentral:tRNA from 1 species